UUUUAAUCUGACAAAAAGUGUGGGGGAUAGAAUCGUGUUCUAGCAAAAGUGUGUACGUUAUAACACCCACAUCCCUCACGCUUGCUACGCCCCUGGCCAUGUUUAUAAGGAGCAGGGUAGACAUGCAGUAGCCUUAAAACAAGUUUGAUUCCCAAAAGUCACCACCAUCAUGCCUGUCACCCACAUCUGUGAAAGGCUUGUUUGCUUGUCUGCUUGCCCUUAGCAGCUCUGUAACACAUCACCGGAAAGCCUCAUAAUCUCUCAUAUAUCGUUCUUGUUCCUUAGAAGAAAAAAUGAGGCUUGAUAAUAUCAGUGAAUGUGGGAAUGUGCCAGUCAGAUGCAAUAGUAGCUAUCAGUAAUGUUGCCCAGCAACAUUGCUCAAAAAGUUAUCUUUUGCAUUAUCAGCUUUACAUGUUUAUAUAUGCAUGUCGGGAAAUCAGAAAAAAAAGAUGUAGAGGCACAGAAGCUCCUCAAAUCCCCAGACAUUAUAAAAGGUGUAGAAUCCCCUCCACAGUCUGAAGAGACCAUCUAAGCAUUUACAGAUUACGCAGGUAUGUAGCAUUUCAAGAUGCCACAAUGCUCUGCAUCAAAACAAGUGCACAAGUUUAAAUUCACAUAUGACAUGGAAUAUUUCAGACGACAGAGAGCUGGGCCUUCAGAAGAGGUCAAGAAAAAGAAGGUCUUCCCAAGAAUCUCACAACACCGUGGUGGUCAGGCCAUGUGAUUUUGUCCCAAAGAUUCAAAGCUGUUAUUCUAAAGGCAGAUUUCCUGGUUCCUCGCUCUAGUGCUGUCCCUGGUGGUCAACUAUGAGACAGAACUGCCAGCCAACUGUGAGGACAUUUUCAGCAACGUCCGGUGCGGCCACACCCUCAGCGGUGUGUACACCAUCUACUCCUCUGGACACAGCGUACCUGUGCAGGUGUACUGCGACAUGGACUGUGGCAACAACCAUGUCCAUGACGAAGGCAGGUGGACGGUGAGUGAAACAAGGUAUCUGGUUCAUCUGACUCAAAGGAACACGCCAACAUUUUGGGAAAUUGGCUUAUUCACCAUUGACUGAGUUACU